rnacentral:rRNA from 1 species
UGAGUACGAGCUGCUACGGCAGCGAAGUGGGUGACGUCAAGCUUCCAAGAAAAGCCCUAUACCCGUUAAGGCAUGAUGGCCUGUACCCGAAACCGACACAGGUGGGGUGGUAGAGAAUACCGAGGGGCGCGAGAUAACUCUCUCUAAGGAACUCGGCAAAAUGGCCCCGUAACUUCGGGAGAAGGGGUGCCACCGCAAGGUGGUCGCAGUGAAGAGGCCCAGGCGACUGUUUACCAAAAACACAGGUCUCCGCUAAGUCGCAAGACGAUGUAUGGGGGCUGACGCCUGCCCAGUGCCGGAAGGUUAAGGAAGCUGGUCAGCGUAAGCGAAGCUAGCGACUGAAGCCCCGGUGAACGGCGGCCGUAACUAUAACGGUCCUAAGGUAGCGAAAUUCCUUGUCGGGUGAGUUCCGACCCGCACGAAAGGCGUAACGAUCUGGGCGCUGUCUCGGAGAGAGGCUCGGCGAAAUAGAAUUGUCUGUGAAGAUGCGGACUACGUGCACCCGGACAGAAAGACCCUAUGAAGCUUUACUGUAGCUUGGUAUUGUGCUCGGGCUCGGAAUGCGCAGGAUAGGUGGGAGGCUAUGAACCAUUGCUUGUGGGUGAUGGUGAGCCACUGGUGAGAUACCACUCUUUCCGAGCUAGAGUUCUAACAGCCACCCGUUAUCCGGGGGCUGGACAGUAUCAGGUGGGCAGUUUGACUGGGGCGGUCGCCUCCUAAAAGGUAACGGAGGCGCGCAAAGGUUUGCUCAGGCUGGUUGGAAAUCAGCCGACGAGUGUAAAAGCAGAAGCAAGCUUGACUGUGAGACCUACAAGUCGAACAGGGAGGAAACUCGGCUUUAGUGAUCCGACGGUUCUGCGUGGAAGGGCCGUCGCUCAACGGAUAAAAGUUACUCUAGGAUAACAGGCUGAUCUCCCCCAAGAGUUCACAUCGACGGGGAGGUUUGGCACCUCGAUGUCGGCUCAUCGCAACCUGGGGCUGAAGUCGGUCCCAAGGGUUGGGCUGUUCGCCCAUUAAAGCGGUACGCGAGCUGGGUUCAGAACGUCGUGAGACAGUUCGGUCCAUAUCCGGUGCAUGCGCAGGAAUAUUGAGAGGAUUUCUCCCUAGUACGAGAGGACCGGGAGGAACGCACCUCUGGUGUACCAGUUAUCGUGCCAACGGUAAACGCUGGGUAGCCAUGUGCGGAGAGGAUAACCGCUGAAAGCAUCUAAGUGGGAAGCCCACCUCAAGAUGAGUAUUCCCAUGGGGUAACCCAGUAAGGUCACGGGAAGAACACCCGUUGAUAGGCUCUACGUGGAAGCGCAGUAAUGUGUGAAGCGGAGGAGUACUAAUAGACCGAGGGCUUGACC